UACGUAGGGCGCGAGCGUUGUCCGGAUUUAUUGGGCGUAAAGAGCUCGUAGGCGGCUCGUUGCGUCAACCGUGAAAACCCGGGGCUUAACUUCGGGCUUGCGGUUGAUACGGGCGGGCUGGAGUUCGGUAGGGGAGACUGGAAUUCCUGGUGUAGCGGUGAAAUGCGCAGAUAUCAGGAGGAACACCGGUGGCGAAGGCGGGUCUCUGGGCAGAUACUGACGCUGAGGAGCGAAAGCCAGGGGAGCAAACGGG
rnacentral:rRNA from 1 species